AUUGAACGCUGGCGGCAUGCUUUACACAUGCAAGUCGAACGGUAACAGGCCUUCGGGUGCUGACGAGUGGCGCACGGGUGAGUAAUGCAUCGGAACGUGCCCAGAGGUGGGGGAUAACGCAGCGAAAGCUGUGCUAAUACCGCAUGUGAUCUGAGGAUGAAAGCGGGGGACCAGGCAGCAAUGUUUGGCCUCGCGCCUUUGGAGCGGCCGAUGUCAGAUUAGGUAGUUGGUGGGGUAAAGGCCUACCAAGCCGACGAUCUGUAGCUGGUCUGAGAGGACGACCAGCCACACUGGGACUGAGACACGGCCCAGAAUCCUACGGGAGGCAGCAGUGGGGAAUUUUGGACAAUGGGCGCAAGCCUGAUCCAGCAAUGCCGCGUGCGGGAAGAAGGCCUUCGGGUUGUAAACCGCUUUUGUACGGAACGAAAAGGCUCUGGCUAAUACCUGGGGCUGAUGACGGUACCGGAAGAAUAAGCACCGGCUAACUACGUG
rnacentral:rRNA from 1 species